CCUACGGGAGGCAGCAGUGGGGGAUAUUGCACAAUGGGGGGAACCCUGAUGCAGCGACGCCGCGUGGGUGAAGAAGCGCCUCGGCGCGUAAAGCCCUGUCAGCAGGGAAGAAAAUGACGGUACCGGAAGAAGAAGCCCCGGCUAACUACGUGCCAGCAGCCGCGGGAAUACGUAGGGGGCAAGCGUUAUCCGGAAUUACUGGUUGUAAAGGGGGCGCAGACGGCGAUGCAAGCCAGGAGUGAAAGCCCGGGGCCCAACCCCGGGACUGCUCUUGGAACUGCGUGGCUGGAGUGCAGGAGGGGCAGGCGGAAUUCCUGGUGUAGCGGUGAAAUGCGUAGAUAUCAGGAGGAACACCGGUGGCGAAGGCGGCCUGCUGGACUGCAACUGACGUUGAGGCCCGAAAGCGUGGGGAGCAAACAGGAUUAGAUACCCUUGUAGUC
rnacentral:rRNA from 1 species